CUGAUCCUUUUUGGAGGUGACGAUAAUGGAAUGAGCGGCGGACGGGUGAGUAACACGUAGGCAACCUGCCUGUAAGACUGGGAUAACUCGUGGAAACGCGAGCUAAUACCGGAUAACACUUUUUAUCUCCUGAUGAGAAGUUGAAAGGCGGCUUUUGCUGUCACUUACAGAUGGGCCUGCGGCGCAUUAGCUAGUUGGUAAGGUAACGGCUUACCAAGGCGACGAUGCGUAGCCGACCUGAGAGGGUGAUCGGCCACACUGGGACUGAGACACGGCCCAGACUCCUACGGGAGGCAGCAGUAGGGAAUCUUCCGCAAUGGACGAAAGUCUGACGGAGCAACGCCGCGUGAGUGAUGAAGGUUUUCGGAUCGUAAAACUCUGUUGUUAGGGAAGAACAAGUGCCAUAGUAACUGAUGGCACCUUGACGGUACCUAACCAGAAAGCCACGGCUAACUACGUGCCAGCAGCCGCGGUAAUACGUAGGUGGCAAGCGUUGUCCGGAAUUAUUGGGCGUAAAGCGCUCGCAGGCGGUUCUUUAAGUCUGAUGUGAAAUCUUACGGCUCAACCGUAAACGUGCAUUGGAAACUGGAGGACUUGAGUGCAGAAGAGGAGAGUGGAAUUCCACGUGUAGCGGUGAAAUGCGUAGAGAUGUGGAGGAACACCAGUGGCGAAGGCGACUCUCUGGUCUGUAACUGACGCUGAGGAGCGAAAGCGUGGGGAGCGAACAGGAUUAGAUACCCUGGUAGUCCACGCCGUAAACGAUGAGUGCUAGGUGUUAGGGGGUUUCCGCCCCUUAGUGCUGAAGUUAACGCAUUAAGCACUCCGCCUGGGGAGUACGGCCGCAAGGCUGAAACUCAAAAGAAUUGACGGGGGCCCGCACAAGCGGUGGAGCAUGUGGUUUAAUUCGAAGCAACGCGAAGAACCUUACCAGGUCUUGACAUCCUCUGAACACUCUAGAGAUAGAGUUUUUCCCUUUCGGGGACAGAGUGACAGGUG
rnacentral:rRNA from 1 species